rnacentral:rRNA from 1 species
UACCAUAAGGAAUUUAUUUUUGGCAAUUUCUGCUCAAUGAAUAUUAAAUAGCCGCAGUACUUUGACUGUGCAAAGGUAGCAUAAUAAUUUGGCUUUUAAUUGGGGUCUUGUAUGAAUGAAAAAAUGGGGGAAUGCUGUAUCAAUUUAGUGGCCAAAAUUUACUUAAGGGGUGAAAAUACCCUUAGUUACAUAAUAGACGAGAAGACCCUUGAAAUUUUAUUAAGUGAUAAUUUUGUUGGGGCGACAGAGUAGCAGAUAACCUACUUUUAAAAUAAGUCUUAUAUUUAAGGAAAAAUCAAAUUACUCAAGGGAUAACAGCAUAAUUAUUUAAGUAGUUUGUGACCUCGAUGUUGGAUUAGGAAUAUCUAACUUAGAAGGUUAAGAUUUUUGCUCUGUUCGAGCGAUUUUUCCUACGUGAUCUGAG